CCAGCGGUAAUAGGAGAGUUCUAUCCUUCUAACCCUAAUGCACAGACCCCUCGCUGCUCUUCAUGCUCGUUGUUUUUCUCGCUGACUUUCAGCGGGCGAAAGAGCAAUGGAAGCUCAGGACUAAAAAACGUCAGCCGUAGGCUUUCCUAUAGCCGCAGGCCUGCCUGUCAGUGUGCGCGGCCUCUGCUCGCAAUGUCCGCAGCGCCUUCCUAUGAGGCCGCAGUCUGCCAAUACCCCGGGCAGCCGCGAAGAGCUCGUCUCUGUCAGCCUUUGGCGCUGCGGCGGAGUGGGGGAGGCCGCUGAUGGCAGCUGAGAAUAAAGCGAGCCCAGCUGCCCCGCUCUGUUCCACUGCCCCUGAGCUGUGGGGUUGGUGAAUUGCAGCAUGGCUCCGACAACU
rnacentral:telomerase_RNA from 1 species